ensembl:snRNA U6 U6 spliceosomal RNA
GCCUGCUUCCACAGGGUAUGCACUAAAGCUGAAUGGAGACAGAGAUGCACAUGGCCCCUGCGCUAGGACAACUAUGCAAAUUCGUGAAACGUUCCAUAUUUUU